CAGUCGCCGCGGUAAUACGAAGGGGGCUAGCGUUGUUCGGAUUUACUGGGCGUAAAGCGCACGUAGGCGGACUUUUAAGUCAGGGGUGAAAUCCCGGGGCUCAACCCCGGAACUGCCUUUGAUACUGGAAGUCUUGAGUAUGGUAGAGGUGAGUGGAAUUCCGAGUGUAGAGGUGAAAUUCGUAGAUAUUCGGAAGAACACCAGUGGCGAAGGCGGCUUACUGGCCCAUUACUGACGCUGAGGCUCGAAAGCGUGGGGAGCAAACAGGAUUAGAUACCCCUGUAGUCCCUGUCUCUUAUAC
rnacentral:rRNA from 1 species